UUCUAACUAGUUAUGUGACACUGUGUAAUAAAGUGCCAGUUUCCCCACAGUUCUGCGGGUCAGAAUUCAGAAGGGAUUGCUGGAUGGCUCUUCAUCUCCACAUCUUCUGGAGUCGCUCAAGGGGCUGUAGUCAGACAGUGAACGAGGUUAGAGGCGAUGGCUUCAUUUACUGGAGCCUUGAUGGUGAUGGUGGGAUCUCUCCUGCUCCCUUCCUCCUUCCCAUGCUUAUCAGAGUGGCCUCCACAGGCCGCCCUUAGGCUUCCUGGCCUGCAGACUGGGUCUCAAGAGCAAGCACUCUAUUUAGCAAAGGUGGUAGCUGCAGAUCUUUUAAUGUUUCCCUCCAGAAGUUCAACUACACGAUUUCUGUUAUAUUCUGUGAGUCAAUGACACAUAUGGUGAACCUAGAUCUAAAGUGAGGGGGAAAUUCACCCCUCAAGGUCAUCCUGGGAAAGAGGAGCAGAAUGAUGGUGGUGGGGGGAUUCCUGUUGUAGCAGCUUUAGAAACACAAAUUUAUUGGGAUGCAAUGCUAUAAUUUUUUUUCACUGCAGCACUGUCUCCCAUGUCUUCUCCCCCUUCUUUCCUGCCUGGCACCUUUCCUGUCCUGAUGGUCAAUUAUUAGUUGACUUCAUGUCUGUAGCUGAAUAGAUUAUUAUUUCUAGAGAAAACCACAAACCACCCAAGUCUCUAUAUCUCUCUCAUCUCUAUAUCAUCAUCCAGACACUCACCUAUCGCUCAAGACAGCUGAACAGUUAUAAAAGCUUCCUGGAUGUUUAUUCUGCACUUUCACAGUCUCACUUCACACCACUGAUCCCUUCUUAACCUCCAAACAGUCCUCUACUCUUCUAGACCAUGGUAAUUAACAAGUUACCCAGCUCAUCUUCUGGCUAACUCUACACCAAGGCUGGCUUUAUGAAGACAAUGAUGCAGUCACAUGAGAGGUUCCACCACCUGUCAACAUGCAUGAACCUGGAGCACUCUGCCUUCCAUCUGAUAGUGUGGGCAACAGGUCCCUGAUCCAUCCCGUGCAAUUGCAAGAAGUGGGCAUGGAUGGUGUUCCCAUCGUUUCCAGUGUUCUCGACAACUUCAUUACUGCAAUGACACUACACAUUGACUGGUUGAUAUCCUGCCUCAUCAGCCUCUCCUUUCAUAGCCUUUGUGGCUUUCCUUCUGGAUGACAAGUGAGGAAGUCUCACUUUUUUCUGACUUCUGUUUGCAUAUUCUUCAUGGUGAUCAUAUGGAAUCCCAUGGCUUUAAAAUGCAGUCCAUCAGGAUAUAGAGGUCAUGAGGGAGCAGAAAGGUUGAGUCAGGGAAAGAAUAGAAGAAAGGAUAUGUGAUAGGUAGG
rnacentral:lncRNA from 1 species